UACGUAGGGGGCAAGCGUUGUCCGGAAUUAUUGGGCGUAAAGAGCUCGUAGGCGGUCUGUUGCGUCUGCUGUGAAAACUCGGGGCUUAACCCCGAGCCUGCAGUGGAUACGGGCAGACUAGAGGUAGGUAGGGGAGAAUGGAAUUCCCGGUGUAGCGGUGAAAUGCGCAGAUAUCGGGAGGAACACCGGUGGCGAAGGCGGUUCUCUGGGCCUUACCUGACGCUGAGGAGCGAAAGCGUGGGGAGCGAACAGG
rnacentral:rRNA from 1 species